CUGGGAUUAGAUACCCCACUAUGCUUAGCCCUAAACACAGAUAAAACUCUACUUUACUUUAUCCGCCCGGGUACUACGAGCAUCAGCUUGAAACCCAAAGGACUUGGCGGUGCUUUAGACCCAUCUAGAGGAGCCUGUUCUAUAACCGAUAAUCCCCGUUGAACCUCACCCUUCCUUGUUCUUUUCCGCCUAUAUACCGCCGUCGCAAGCUUACCCUGUGAAGGUCCAAUAGUUAGCUUAAUCGGCACAGCCCAGAACGUCAGGUCGAGGUGUAGCUUACGGAGGGGGAAGAAAUGGGCUACAUUCCCUAAUUUAGGGUAAACGGAUAAUGCACUGAAACGUGCAUCAGAAGGUGGAUUUAGUAGUAAGCAGAAAACAGAGUGUUCUGCUGAAACCGGCUCUGAAGCGUGCACACACCGCCCGUC
rnacentral:rRNA from 1 species